rnacentral:ncRNA from 1 species
CCAAAUUCGUUGAUGAGAACAAAGUCAUAUUCGAGAUUAUUUUCAGAGAGCCUGUGGGUGGUGUGAGCAGGUAAUAACCGGAUAAGGAUAUCCUCUCUAAGAAGCGGGCUGAAAGCGUGAUGCACGUCAGUAAACCUCGCCGGUAUCCACCGUUAUAUGGAUAGCAUAUGCUGGUAUGUGAAGAGCCGCAGAUUUUUUGCGGAAUCAGGGUGGUAACGCGGAUUAUAUUCGUCCCUUUU